GUCAGGUCUCAGCCUUUUGGCUAAGAUCAAGUGUAGUAUCUGUUCUUAUCAGGAGAGGUGUCAAAGCUCCUUCUGGUGAGGCAGAGAAACAUUUGAUCCUCUGGCCAGGGGGCCUAAGCAUUAUGAAAGCCUGGGGCAUUGUGCCCCCUAUGGUGG
rnacentral:snRNA from 1 species